UACGGAGGGAGCAAGCGUUACUCGGAAUUACUGGGCGUAAAGGGCGCGUAGGCGGCAAAUCAAGUCAGCUGUGAAAUCUCCGAGCUUAACUCGGAACGGUCAGCUGAUACUGUUUUGCUAGAGUACAGAAGGGGCAAUCGGAAUUCUUGGUGUAGCGGUGAAAUGCGUAGAUAUCAAGAGGAACACCUGAGGUGAAGACGGGUUGCUGGGCUGAUACUGACGCUGAGGCGCGAAAGCUAGGGUAGCAAACGGG
rnacentral:rRNA from 1 species